rnacentral:tRNA from 1 species
AGCCCGGUGGUGUAGCGGUCAAGCAUGGAGGCCUCUGGAGCCUCUGACGAGAGUUCGAAUCUCUCCCGGGCUACCA